AACGAACGCUGGCGGCAGGCCUAAAACAUGCAAGUCGAACGCCCUAGCAAUAGGGAGUGGCGCACGGGUGAGUAACGCGUGGGAACGUGCCCUUCAGUACGGGACAACGUCGGGAAACUGACGCUAAUACCGUAUAAUAUCUCCGGAUCAAAGAUUUAUCGCUGAGGGAGCGGCCCGCGUCUGAUUAGCUAGUUGGUGAGGUAAUGGCUCACCAAGGCUACGAUCAGUAGCAGGUCUGAGAGGAUGAUCUGCCACACUGGGACUGAGACACGGCCCAGACUCCUACGGGAGGCAGCAGUUAGGAAUAUUGGACAAUGGGCGAAAGCCUGAUCCAGCCAUGCCGCGUGUGUGAUGAAGGCCUUAGGGUUGUAAAGCACUUUCGUUGGGGAUGAUAAUGACCGUACCCAAAGAAGAAGCCACGGCUAAAUUCGUGCCAGCAGCCGCAGUAACAC
rnacentral:rRNA from 1 species